GCCUCGGUAGCUUAGUUGGUAGAGCGGCGGGCUGAUAUCCCAGAGUCGCAAGUUCGAGUCUCGCCCGAGACA